UUCUCGCGAGAGUGGCGGCGCGGCGGGGACCGAGAGCUGCGGGCGGGCUGGAGGUACCCCACCGCGGGGUGGUGCUCUGACUGCGGGAACCGUUGAAGAGCUGCCCCCGGGGAGUCAGCGAGGCGCCACUGGUCUCUUAGACAUCUUCUCAAGAUUAUGCUAAGAGAAAUGACUGCACCCUUUUCCUGAGCUAUGGCAGUCAGACCUGGCAGUGGUAACUACUCUACAGAACUCCCAAACCUGGCAAGGAUGGUGCAGAUUUUGGCAGAUUAUGGCUUUGUCCCCACCCAGCACUGAUGAUAUUAUAAAAUAUGACACCUUCAAGUAUAAGCAACCAAAGAAAACUAGAUAAAUUGGACCUCAUAAAGUAAAACAAACAAAAACCUUUUGCUUCAAAGGAUACCACUAAGCAAGCGAAAAGACAACACAUAGAAUGUGAGAAAAAGGUUGUAAAUCCUAUAUAUGACAAGGCACCUGUAUCCAGAAUAAAGAACCUCUUAAAACUCAACAAUAAAAACACAAAUAAUCUAAUUGUAAAAUAGCUUACAAUCAUUAUUGUAAAAUUGGCAAAGGAUUUAAAUAGAUAUUUUUCUAAAGAAGAUAUAAAAAUAGUCAAUAAAUGCAUAAAAAAUAGACAAUAAAUAUAUGCUCAGCCUCAGCAGUCAUUAGGGAAAUGUAAAUCAAAACCACAAGGGAAGUAUUUAUUCACACACACUAAUAUGGCUACAAUAAAAAACCUAGACAGUAAAAAAUGUUGAUGAGGAUGUAGAAAGUUGGUACCUGCAUAUAUUGCUGUUAGGAAUGUAAAAUGGUACAGCUGUUUGGGAAAGCAGUUUAGCAGUCCUCAAAAGUUUAAUUAUAGUUACCAUAUGACUCAGCAAUAUCGUUACUAAGUAUAUACUCAGGAGGACUGAAAACACAUGUCACACAAAACCCUAUACACAAAUGUUCAUGUCAUAGUAGUCAAAAUGUGGAAACAACUGAAAUGUGCAACAAUGGAUGAAUGGAUAAACAAAAUGUGGUAUAUCCAUCCAGUGGAAUAUUAUUUAGCCUUAAAAAGGAAUGAAGUUCUGCUGCAUGCUGCAACAUGGAUGAACCUUGAAAACAUUAUCAUUAGAGAUGGAAACCAAACAUAAAAGGUCACAUUGUAUUAUUCCAUUUAUAUCACUGUCCAGAAUAGGCAAAUCCAUAGAGAUACAAAACAGAUAAGUGGUUCCCAGGUACUGGGAAAAGCAAGAGGUAGGAGUGACUGCUAAUGAGUAUAGGGUUUCUUUUUGAGGUGAUGAAAAUGUUCUGCAACUAGAUAGUGGUGUUUGUUUUAUGAACUUGUGAAUAUACUAAAAGCCACUGGAUUAUAUAUUUUAUGUAUUUGUUUGUUAGGACUGUCAUAACAAAUAAUACUACAGGCUGGUGGCAACAGAAAUGUAUUUUCUCACCGUGUGGAGUCUAGAAGUCCACAGUCAAAAUGUCUCAAGGGUUGUUUUCAUUCUCAGGCCUCUUUUUUGGCUUGUAGAUGGCUAACUUCCCUGUGGCCUCACAUGGUCACCCCUUGGUCUGUGUGUUGUCUGUGUCCUAACCUCCUCUUAUAAGGACACCAGUCAUAUUGAAUUAGGGCCCACAUAUAUGACAUUUUACCUUACUUGUCUCUUUAAAGGUCCCAUCUCCAAAUUCAAUCACAUUCUAAGGUACUAGAGGUGUUAGGACUUCCACACGUGAAUUUAGUUGGGGAGGGAGACACAACACUUGAAAACCUAGGGGUGAAUUUUAUGAUAUGUAAAUUAUACCUCAAUUUUGAAAAAUAUAAGAACCUACUUUUCUUUCCAAAUAAGUUUGAAAACUUAAAUGAAAAAAGUAAUUUUCAGCUGGGCACAGUAGUACACACCUGUCAGUCCCAGUUACUCAAGAGGCUGAGGAAGGAGGAUUGCUUGAGACCAGGAGUUUAAGGCUGCAUCUGUGAAUAGUCACGGUACUCCAGCCUGGGCAACAUAAUGAGACCCCAUCUCUUAAAAAAAAAAAAAAGAUGGUCAGGUGCAAUGACUCACACUUUGAGAGGUCAAGGUGUGAGGAUCCCUUGAAUCUAGGAGUUUAAGACCAGCCUGGACAACAUAGUGAGACCCUGACUCUACAAAAAAUAAAAACUUAGCCAGGUAUGGUGGCACAUGCCUAUGGUCGCAGCUACUUGGGAGACUCAGAUGGGAGGAUCGCUUGAGCCUUGGAGGUGGAGACUGCAGUGAGCCAUGAUCUCACCAUUGCGCUUAGCCUGGGAGGCAGGGUGAGACCCUGUCUCAAAAAAAAAAAAAAAAAAGUUUAUUUUUAAGGCAAAUAUAUUUCAUCAAAAUUGGCCACAUUUGAGAAAGUUUAAUUUCUGUAGAAGAAAUAGAAAAGAAUAUCAAGGAUCCACCUCAUAAAAAAGCACCAGUCCCAGAUGGUUUUAUAGAGAUAAUCUGUGAAACACUCAAAGAUAUUCUCAAUGCUCCGUAAACUGGUGCUGAGCAUUGAACAUGGAUAAUACCAAUUCCUAAAGACAGC
ensembl:lncRNA novel transcript